rnacentral:rRNA from 1 species
GACGAACCGUCCAAACGUUAUUCGGAAUUACUGGGCUUAAAGGGUGCGUAGGCGGUCCUGUAAGUUGGGUGUGAAAGACCUCGGCCUAACCGAGGAAUUGCGCCCAAAACUGCCGGACUUGAGUAAGGUAGAGGUGAACGGAACUAAGGGUGGAGCGGUGAAAUGCGUUGAUAUCCUUAGGAACACCAGUAGCGAAAGCGGUUCACUGGGCCUUUUCUGACGCUGAGGCACGAAAGCCAGGGGAGCGAACGGG